rnacentral:rRNA from 1 species
GACAGAGGGUGCAAACGUUGUUCGGAAUUACUGGGCGUAAAGCGCGUGUAGGCGGCUGCGCAAGUCGGAUGUGAAAUCCCAUGGCUCAACCAUGGAAGUGCACCCGAAACUGCGUAGCUAGAGUCUCGGAGAGGAAGGCGGAAUGCUUGGUGUAGAGGUGAAAUUCGUAGAUAUCAGGAGGAACACCAGUGGCGAAGGCGGCUUUCUGGACGGUAACUGACGCUGAGACGCGAAAGCGUGGGGAGCAAACAGG